GACUGCGCUGACUGAAGGGAGACUUGGACUUGGGAACCAACCCCUUCACCUUUCCCACGUACGCUCAUCUAAGGCAGCUCUGUGAAAUUCCAAAAAUCUAAGAGUGGAAGUUUAGAAAGUAAGCUGCAAGUGGAUAUCACCGAAUGAAAAGAAUAAGCUAAAUUCGCCCCAGAACCAGAACACAUAAACCAUCAGGAUUUAAUUUAAAUCAGUGAAUACUAGAUCAUAUUCCAAAUACAUUCCCAAACUAAGAUGAUGUUUGGAGGAGGAUGAAAGCUAAGAUCCUUGCACAGUAACUCAGCAUGCAGACAUAGACACAGGCCCCAGCCUGCAUCCAGUGGACCAGUGAGGACCAGUUAGCCACCCAGUGAGCCCGCCCUCAUUCCUGGAUCCACUCUGCACAGGCACAGGUGGUCAUAAAGCUCAUUUUACUGAGCUCCAGAAGAGAGAACAGAAGUG